AAGCGAAUAUCAUUUGUACCGUAGACAGUAGGUGCCUCAUAUAGGCUUAAUUUCCUACCGAGGUGUUGAGACUCAUAAAUAAGUGCAUCUUGCACUUUUCGGGGGCCUCCAUGUCUGCGUUGACAUGGAGGUUUUUUGAUUGAACG
rfam:Anoxybacillus flavithermus WK1, complete genome.